rnacentral:rRNA from 1 species
CAGGCUACACAUGCAGUCGAGCGGUAGCACAGAGAGCUUGCUCUCGGGUGACGAGCGGCGGACGGGUGAGUAAUGUCUGGGAAACUGCCUGAUGGAGGGGGAUAACUACUGGAAACGGUAGCUAAUACCGCAUAACGUCGCAAGACCAAAGUGGGGGACCUUCGGGCCUCAUGCCAUCAGAUGUGCCCAGAUGGGAUUAGCUGGUAGGUGGGGUAACGGCUCACCUAGGCGACGAUCCCUAGCUGGUCUGAGAGGAUGACCAGCCACACUGGAACUGAGACACGGUCCAGACUCCUACGGGAGGCAGCAGUGGGGAAUAUUGCACAAUGGGCGCAAGCCUGAUGCAGCCAUGCCGCGUGUGUGAAGAAGGCCUUCGGGUUGUAAAGCACUUUCAGCGGGGAGGAAGGCGGUGAGGUUAAUAACCUCAUCGAUUGACGUUACCCGCAGAAGAAGCACCGGCUAACUCCGUGCCAGCAGCCGCGGUAAUACGGAGGGUGCAAGCGUUAAUCGGAAUUACUGGGCGUAAAGCGCACGCAGGCGGUCUGUCAAGUCGGAUGUGAAAUCCCCGGGCUCAACCUGGGAACUGCAUUCGAAACUGGCAGGCUAGAGUCUUGUAGAGGGGGGUAGAAUUCCAGGUGUAGCGGUGAAAUGCGUAGAGAUCUGGAGGAAUACCGGUGGCGAAUGCGGCACUCCUGGACAAAGACUGACGCUCUAGGUGC